GUCUCUCCGUCCUUGUGUUUCCCCUUCUUUGGCUCAACGAAACAGAAGCAUGAACAACAAGGCAGCUGAAACAAAAACUUCAUCGUGAUUUGGAAUUGGCUCAACAGCAGAAUGAUUUUUGGGUUUCCUUUAUUCGUUUCAGAUUUUUGGAUGCUUUGCCAACCAAGUUGAUUCUCCCUUGAAAAGAA